UAGUAUUUCAGAAUUUUGUUCUUUUUCCCCCCCUCUUUGUUAAUUUUUGUAGCCUUUCACACUGCUGUAGGUUAUUUAUUUGUUUUUUCUUAUUUUUAAAAUAUUUCUACGAAGCUCUCCCUUGGCUACUAUUAAAUUAUUUCUAUGCCCUUAUUUUUAUUCUUUGAACUGAUUUUCUGUCUUCCUUAAGCAGUGCAAGUCAGUGGAUUUAGGGUGGGAGCUGAAAAAGGCAGUGGUCACAAACCAGCAGUCAAACUGCACGUGUCAUGUGUAGCUCGCAUUUCAUCCGGCUGCAGAAGGCAGCGAUGGUGGAACUGCAGCUCCAGCAGGAGCGGCAAGGAAUCUCAGAUACACAAGGGAAGAAAAUUAUGGAACACUUACUGUUCAGGGCAAAGAAGAUAUAAGAUUGCAAUUAAGAAAAUUAAGGUAAAUGUUUCUUGGAGAAAUGUAAUUUUGCUCCUUUGCUUAUGCAUCUGAAAAUUAAAACAUCUUUCUUCAUGAAAUAGUGAAUUGCAGGGUAAUGUGGAUUUUUUGUAUUUGUCUAGCAUACUAUAAUCCACACUGUGCAGAAAUCCUGAUUAAAUUUUGUAGCAAAUUCUGCUUUCUUCAGGCUUUACUGUAGUUUCUGUGACAGUCUCAAAGACAUUAAAGCAAGAGCAAUAUGAGAAUGAAUAAUUCAAUAUUUUGUAUAUAAAAUGUUUUGUCUUAUAUUUUGUUGUAACUUUAAAUUUUGCAUUUGUUUGCUGUAUUUUGAGUCAUGUCUAGAUAACAUCCAACUAACAGGAAAAUUAUGAAAAUUUUUGUUGAUUUGAAAGGAAACAGUUGAAAAUUUGGGAGAAAUUUGAGUGGGAAAAGUAAGAGUCUAAGAGAAAUAUUGAAGAUCCAGCAGUGGAAAGAAAGUAAUAGUUUGAUGGCAGUUGAUAAAACAGUCAUUUUGUCUCUGGGCAGAGAUUUACUUGUAUUACCCUUCUAUUUGAAUUAUUUUUCUUUGGUGAUAGAUGCAUAUUGAAAUUUGAACUUUUAAAAUGCGCUUGGGUGUGUUUAAAUAGAGCUUUUGAGAAUUCUGGGUAUAAGAUCUCAGAAUACAGGACCUGAGUAUACCAAUUGCAUAUUUGAAUAAACUGACCAAAUGCGUGUUUAGAAUAUCUUGUACGGUCAGCAUGAAAAGUAAAGAUGGUAUUUUGGAGGUCUCUCUACCCAUUGUGGCUUUUUCAGUUUGAAAAUAAAGGAUAUUUCUUUUCACCUUCUCCAUUAUUUUAUGGCUGAAAAUUUUCAGGCCAAAUUAGGAACUCAGUGUUGCCUGUUCCAGAGUGAUUGAGGUAACAUGAAGAAACACUGAGACAGGGAUCACUGGGGUAUUCAGACUUCUAUGCUAGAGAAACAUCCCCA
rnacentral:lncRNA from 1 species